UUCAUCUUCCUCAAGUUCUCACGCUCGAUUUUGCUGCCGCCAUUGUCGAAUCAUGUCAAAACAAAAACGAAGACCUCCAAAAUCUCCAUUUUCAAUGCCAAAUCUUCCAAUAAUUCAAGGAUAUACUCAACUCUCACCAUCUUCAUCCUCAACUCCAUCUUCAACUCCAAUUAUUUCACCGGGAUUUUCAAUCUCUUCUUCAUGUAGUGCGAAUUCAUGUCCAAGUGUGGGUUGCGCGUAUGGCAAGGGAUUUAUUAGCCAUUCCAAUUACUACUGUUGCAUCCGAGUCAGCUUUUAGCUUAGGAGGUA